UACGUAGGGUGCAAGCGUUGUCCGGAAUUAUUGGCGUAAGAGCUACGUAGGCGGUCUGUCGCGUCGGCUGUGAAAACUCCGGGGCUCAACCCCGAGCUUGCAGUCGAUACGGGCAGGCUAGAGUUCGGCAGGGGAGACUGGAAUUCCUGGUGUAGGCGGUGAAAUGCGCAGAUAUCAGGAGGAACACCGGUGGCGAAGGCGGGUCUCUGGGCCGAUACUGACGCUGAGGAGCGAAAGCGUGGGGAGCGAACAGG
rnacentral:rRNA from 1 species